CAUGCCAUGCCAGGCCUUGUACGUAUACUCGCACAAACUGAGAAGAUUUAGUUCAUUGAGAAUGGAUGGAAACUGAUGAAGAGCUGGAAGGAGCUAACUGAUGAGUAGACAUUACAACAUUUCUUAUAUUUUCAAGAUGAAGCUGAAAGUCCCAUGCAGGAUGAUGCUUCUCUACAGUGGAUGAUGAAAGCAUGCUGAUUACAAACCCAGGAGAGGAAUAAAGAACAGAUAUUGACAGAAUCAUAUCUAGAGAUGUGGGCCUACUGCACUUCAUACAAGCAAGUGUGCUAAUAUACCAUACUUGGGUUAUCAUCACAGCCCUUUCUUCUGAAAACUAGCCUACAACUUCAUCGUUGAAUGCAGAAGACAUCUACAUGGGACUACGUCUUAAAGAUGCCCCCUCAUAUAAUGAAAGAGGACAGUAGAGAUGGGCUUAAUCUUGAAUAUUUACAUA
rnacentral:lncRNA from 1 species